AUCACUUGUACCGAGUACUGCUCUCUACUAUUGCACUACCUGUCAUGGCUACAAAGAGACCAAGAGGCCCUCCUACAGGGCAAACUCCAAAGAAGCCUCCUAAAGUCCCAAGGAAGGCAAGCAAAUUCAAGGAAAAUGCAAAAGGAAGUGGCUGGACUACCUCGAAGAUUCAUCUCUAGUUCAAUUCAUAGCUUGUAACGAGGGGUUUAUGAAUAGUUGGCCCAAAGCAAGAGCUGGUCAUAGUGUAUGGGAAAGGGCUUCAAGCUCCUUGAUUUCACCUAUUCAUAGGACACGGCGAACAAAUGGAAGCUGUCGUGCUCGAGUUGUAUUGGUGCUGGCUAAGAAGUUUGCUUCUCCCAAAGAUGCAAUCACAUCAAUGACUGAGCAAACGAAUGUGCAAUCAACUCCUGCAUCUUCAUUGAGUUCAAUUCCUAUAAUCAAAGAAGAAUUAUUGAUGAAUUCUUUUCUUCUAUUAUCGUCUGACGAACAGUUGGUGUUAGUAUCUGAUAUGUUUAAGCACAUCGCAUCAAAUCAGUACAGCCUCAAUGCACCAGAUGACUUCGUUGAAAUGUCGUUGAAAGGCAUGCAGAAGUUACUGUCCGAUGGAAAGAGUAAUGUCAUCUAUGGUCUAUGCAAUGGAUUUGGACGUUCUCGGCCAGAAAACGAGAAUGAAAGUUAUUUUCCUACAUCACGAAUGCCAAUGGGGUUACUCGAGUACAUGGUGAAUUUUUUUAUCACUGAACAUGGCAACAAAGUCAAAUGCCCCACCGAUUAUUCCGAAUGGCUACAGAGUAUGUACACUCUGUUUGGAACGAAAUGGUGCAAGCUGCAUCGUGGUCCUGCUUAGUCGUAUGAAGCUAUACUGAACAGGGAGCAAGGCAAUCACAUAUGGGUUUAAGCCCACUCGUUGCUCGAGUAAACGUUCCUGCACCAAGUGACAGAAGCAUACAGAGAAUGAUUGCUAAUUCUGAUGUCACGGUCACUGCCGAAAUCCAG